GGGGGGGUGGCAUAGUGGUAAGGUGCAGGGUUCAUAACCAAAAGGUUGCUGGUUCGAUUCCAUGCUCAGGCA